CUCACACGAAGAUUGCUCACUACAGGGGUAGGGACUUGGGGGAGGAGGAUGUACCAGACUCGUUCCUCUUCACCCUGGGAAUGACCAGUAGAUGAACUGCCUGGAUUUUGACUGCAUUCAGAAAUUUCUGACCACAGGACUCAUGGACCACCUUUUGAAGUUCUGGGGAUAAUAAGAAACAUCUGAAUGGCUUAUUCUAGCCCUGUGAGCUGACCUCCGGAGCUAACUUGGUAGCCCCACCCUUCGGGUGGGGAAAAGCCCAAGAACUCUUAGGAGUGAAGCCUUUCCCGCUCUCUUGCUGCUCCUCCUAAAUGUUUCCUCUGCAGCUGCAUAGGCUGGCAGGCAGCCUGAGAUGGAGCCCUACUCAGAAGAUCCCCACCUCUGCUGGGUUGCCCGGCUCCUGGGACUCACCAGCCUCCUCCUCAGCAUCUGCAGCACAGUGGUCCAGAGUUCUGGAAAAUAUGGUUCUGAAGUUCAGAAUUCUAGAUUUGUUCCCAUGCAGGGGAUCCAAGGAGGUUCUGUGCUAUUUCAUAUAGUCAAGAAGCAAGAAGCUGACCCAGAGGAGGUCUCAUGGGGCUUUGGCCCUGAGUUAAACUACAGAGUCCUGCUGCGAGUCCACCGUGGGGCAGACACCCCAACCUGGGUCAGCCUCCAGGACAAGUACCAGCAGAGGGUCCAAGUGCCCAAUGUGACAUCCUUGAAGAUUGAGAACCUGACCCCAGAGGACAGUGGGCAGUACCGGGCUCGAGCCAGCUUCACUGGAGGAAUGGAAUUGAACCAGGUUUUCCUCCUCACUGUCUAUGCCCUCUGGACCUGCUCCUCCCAGGAAUGUAUGAAGUCAGCUCACUCUGCAUCUCCAGGGCCUGUCCGAUGAGUGGCUUCAGUGGACAUAGGAUGGGUGGAGCCAAACAGAAAGGAUUCUCCUGGCUAUGUGUCUGCAUCCUGGGGAAGGGACAACAGAUGGUCCUUCCAGGUAUACAAACUGUCUUGAUGUCUUUAGGAUCUUCCUCUUCAUGGACACCUCAUUGCCCUCAAAUCACUGUAAGUCAGCAUCCAAAACAUGACUAGACCUCCCAAAUGGAUAAUAUCCAAAGAUUCUAUAGAGAAUUCAGAAAAUAUAAACAGUUAAUAAACAUUUUGGUAUGUGUUUGAACUUACUUGCA
ensembl:lncRNA uncharacterized LOC113884704